rnacentral:rRNA from 1 species
CACAUGCAAGUCGUGCGAGAAAGUAUCUUCGGAUAUGAGUAGAGCGGCGGACGGGUGAGUAACGCGUAGGAAUCUACCUAGUAGAAGGGGAUAGCCCGGGGAAACCCGGAUUAAUACCGUAUACCUCCUUCGGGAGAAAGAAGGCCUCUCUUUGAAGCUUUCGCUACUAGAUGAGCCUGCGUAAGAUUAGCUUGUUGGUGAGGUAAAAGCUCACCAAGGCAACGAUCUUUAGCUGGUCUGAGAGGACGAUCAGCCACAUUGGGACUGAGACACGGCCCAGACUCCUACGGGAGGCAGCAGUGGGGAAUAUUGGACAAUGGGCGCAAGCCUGAUCCAGCCAUACCGCGUGUGUGAAGAAGGCCUUCGGGUUGUAAAGCACUUUAAGCAGGGAGAAAAAGUUAUAAGUUAAUACCUUAUAGCCUUGAUGUUACCUGCAGAAUAAGCACCGGCUAAUUCCGUGCCAGCAGCCGCGGUAAUACGGAAGGUGCAAGCGUUAAUCGGAAUUACUGGGCGUAAAGCGCGCGUAGGUGGUUUGUUAAGUUGGAUGUGAAAGCCCUGGGCUCAACCUAGGAACUGCAUCCAAAACUAACUCACUAGAGUACGAUAGAGGGAGGUAGAAUUCAUAGUGUAGCGGUGGAAUGCGUAGAUAUUAUGAAGAAUACCAGUGGCGAAGGCGGCCUCCUGGAUCUGUACUGACACUGAGGUGCGAAAGCGUGGGUAGCGAACAGGAUUAGAUACCCUGGUAGUCCACGCCGUAAACGAUGACAACUAGCUGUUGGGAGACAAAGUCUUUCAGUGGCGCAGCUAACGCUUUAAGUUGUCCCGCCUGGGGAGUACGGCCGCA